UUGNAAAGGUAAAGUCGUAACAAGGUUUCCGUAGGUGAACCUGCGGAAGGAUCAUUACAGAAUGAAAAGUGCUUAACUGCAUUUUUUCUUACACAUGUGUUUUUCUUUUUUUGAAAACUUUGCUUUGGUAGGCCUUCUAUAUGGGGCCUGCCAGAGAUUAAACUCAACCAAAUUUUAUUUAAUGUCAACCGAUUAUUUAAUAGUCAAAACUUUCAACAACGGAUCUCUUGGUUCUCGCAUCGAUGAAGAACGCAGCGAAAUGCGAUAAGUAAUAUGAAUUGCAGAUAUUCGUGAAUCAUCGAAUCUUUGAACGCACAUUGCGCCCUUUGGUAUUCCAAAGGGCAUGCCUGUUUGAGCGUCAUUUCUCCCUCAAACCCUCGGGUUUGGUGUUGAGCGAUACGCUGGGUUUGCUUGAAAGAAAGGCGGAGUAUAAACUAAUGGAUAGGUUUUUUCCACUCAUUGGUACAAACUCCAAAACUUCUUCCAAAUUCGACCUCAAAUCAGGUAGGACUACCCGCUGAACUUAAGCAUAUCAAUAGCNGGGGNGGAA
rnacentral:sRNA from 1 species